rnacentral:tRNA from 1 species
AGUUAAUGAGCUUGAAUAAGCAUUUGUUUUGAAAGCAUAAUAUAGAAAUAAUUAAAUUUUCUAUUAACUU